rnacentral:misc_RNA from 1 species
CAGGGAGGUGGUUCCUGUGACCAUGGUGGGGUAGGUGUUGCAGCAGAAACUAAUACCAAUGUCAAAUCCAGGAAGAGGAAACCGAGAUCUAAGAGAAGGAGAAAAAUUGAAGAUAAUGCUCUGAGCAAGCCGGUUGGCUGUGAUGGUAACGUUGUAGGUGCAAGUGGACUGGUGGCCCCCUCCAAUGGGUUGGAAAAAGAACAACUCGAUGGCAUCCCAACUAAGAGUCUUGAGCAAGUUCGGG